CCAAUAGCGUAUAUUAAAGUUGUUGCAGUUAAAAAGCUCGUAGUUGAAUUUCGGGGUCAGUAGGUUGGUCGUGCCUCCGGUACGUACUGGUCUCACUGAUUCCUCCUUCCUGAUGAGCUGUAAUGCCAUUACUUUGGUGUUGCUGGGAAACUGGACUGUUACUUUGAAAAAAUUAGUGUGUUUAAAGCAGGCUAACGCUUGAAUACAUUAGCAUGGCAUAAUGAAAUAGGACGUUCGAUCCUAUUUUGUUGGUUUCUAGGAUUGACGUAAUGAUUAAUAGGGAUAGUUGGGGGCAUUAGUAUUCAAUUGUCAGAGGUGAAAUUCUUGGAUUUAUUGAAGACUAACUACUGCGAAAGCAUUUGCCAAGGAUGUUUUCAUUAAUCAAGAACGAAAGUUAGGGGAUCGAAGACGAUCAGAUACCGUCGUAGUCUUAACCAUAAACUAUGCCGACUAGGAAUCGGAUGAUGUUAAUUUUUUAAUGACUCAUUCGGCGCCUUACG
rnacentral:rRNA from 1 species